rfam:Bradyrhizobium yuanmingense strain BR3267 contig1019, whole genome shotgun sequence.
UCAGUCGGCCGGACGGCCGCUCCGGCAGGUGCCGAAAGGCCGCCGGGGAGGAAAGUCCGGGCUCCCUUGACAUGCGGUGCCGGAUAACGUCCGGCGGGGGUGACCCCAGGGAAAGUGCCACAGAGAAUGAACCGCCCGCCUUCGCCCUUCGGGGCUUCGGCGCGGUAAGGGUGAAAAGGUGCGGUAAGAGCGCACCGCGGGUCCGGCAACGGAGCCGGCAUGGCAAACCCCACCGGGAGCAAAACCGAAUAGGGACGGCUUAAGCGGGCUGUUCGCGAAGGCGAUAACGCCGCGGGGCGAUGUCAGGCCCGCCGUCCGGGUAGGUUGCUCGAGGCCGUGUGCAAACAUGGUCCCAGAGGAAUGGCCGUCACGUAUCGUUCGCGCAAGCGGACGGUGCCCUACAGAACCCGGCUUACAGGCCGGCUGAUAUC